UACAGGGGGUGCUAGCGUUGUUCGGAAUUACUGGGCGUAAAGGGCGCGUAGGCGGUUUCGCAAGUCAAGGGUGAAAUCCCGGAGCUUAACUCCGGAAUUGCUUUUGAUACUGUGAGGCUAGAGUGUAUUAGAGGAUGGCGGAAUUCCUAGUGUAGUGGUGAAAUACGUAGAUAUUAGGAAGAACACCGGUGGCGAAGGCGGCCAUCUGGGAUACAACUGACGCUGAGGCGCGAAAGCGUGGGGAGCAAACAGG
rnacentral:rRNA from 1 species